AUUGAACGCUGGCGGCAUGCUUUACACAUGCAAGUCGAACGGUAACAAGCCUUCGGGUGCUGACGAGUGGCGAACGGGUGAGUAAUGCAUCGGAACGUGCCCAGAGGUGGGGGAUAACGCAGCGAAAGCUGUGCUAAUACCGCAUGUGAUCUGAGGAUGAAAGCGGGGGACCAGGCAGCAAUGUUUGGCCUCGCGCCUUUGGAGCGGCCGAUGUCAGAUUAGGUAGUUGGUGGGGUAAAGGCCUACCAAGCCGACGAUCUGUAGCUGGUCUGAGAGGACGACCAGCCACACUGGAACUGAGACACGGCCCAGACUCCUACGGGAGGCAGCAGUGGGGAAUGUUGGACAAUGGGCGCAAGCCUGAUCCAGCAAUGCCGCGUGCGGGAAGAAGGCCUUCGGGUUGUAAACCGCUUUUGUACGGAACGAAAAGGCUCUGGCUAAUACCUGGGGCUGAUGACGGUACCGUAAGAAUAAGCACCGGCUAACUACGUG
rnacentral:rRNA from 1 species